rnacentral:rRNA from 1 species
GCACAAGCGGUGGAUGAUGUGGAUUAAUUCGAUGCAACGCGAAAACCUUACCUACGCUUGACAUGUCAGGAACCUCAAAGAGAUUUGGGAGUGCUCGAAAGAGAACCUGCACACAGGUGCUGCAUGGCUGUCGUCAGCUCGUGUCGUGAGAUGUUGGGUUAAGUCCCGCAACGAGCGCAACCCUUGCCAUUAGUUGCUACGAAAGGGCACUCUAAUGGGACUGCCGGUGACAAACCGGAGGAAGGUGGGGAUGACGUCAAGUCCUCAUGGCCCUUAUAGGUGGGGCUACACACGUCAUACAAUGGCCGGUACAGAGGGUAGCCAACCCGCGAGGGGGAGCCAAUCCCACAAAGCCGGUCGUAGUCCGGAUCGCAGUCUGCAACUCGACUGCGUGAAGUCGGAAUCGCUAGUAAUCGCGGAUCAGCAUGUCGCGGUGAAUACGUUCCCGGGUCUU